rnacentral:misc_RNA from 1 species
GAUGAAGAACGUAGCGAAAUGCGAUAAGUAAUGUGAAUUGCAGAAUUCAGUGAAUCAUCGAAUCUUUGAACGCACCUUGCACCCUUUGGCAUUCUGAAGGGUAUGCUCGUUUUAGUGUCAUUGUACUCUCACACUCCCGAUCUUUGCAUUGGGAGCAGUGGACUUGGGUUUGCUGCUUCACCGUCGCUUACCUCAAAUAGGUUAGUGCAACUCUUGGUUGGACAUAGUACGGCGUGAUAAGUGUUCUUCGCCGGUGCCUCGCAAAGAGGGUGGCCGAUCGGGAUGUUGUGCUCCAAACCGUCUUCGGACAAUCUCUGACGACUUGACCUCAAAUCGAGUAAGACUACCCGCUGAACUUAAGCAUAUCAAUAAGCGGAGGA